GAAUUUAAGCCCCAGUAAACGGCGGUGGUAACUAUAACCAUCCUAAGGUAGCGAAAUUCCUUGUCGGGUAAGUUCCGACCUGCACGAAUGGCGUAACGACUUCCCUGCUGUCUCAACCACAGGCCCGGCGAAAUUGCAGUACGAGUAAAGAUGCUCGUUACGCGCGGCAGGACGAAAAGACCCCGGGACCUUCACUAUAGCUUGGUAUUGAUAUUCGGUUCGGUUUGUGUAGGAUAGGUGGGAGACUGUGAUCACAUGACGCCAGUUGUGUGGGAGUCGUUGUUGAAAUACCACUCUGGUCGUAUUGGAUAUCUUAACCUCGGCCCAUGAUCUGGGUUAGGGACAGUGCCUGGUGGGUAGUUUAACUGGGGCGGUUGCCUCCUAAAGAGUAACGGAGGCGCCCAAAGGUUUCCUCAGCCUGGUUGGCAAUCAGGUGGUGAGUGUAAGUGCACAAGGGAGCUUGACUGUGAGACUGACAGGUCGAGCAGGUACGAAAGUAGGGACUAGUGAUCCGGCACUGGCUUGUGGAAGCGGUGUCGCUCAACGGAUAAAAGGUACCCCGGGGAUAACAGGCUGAUCUUCCCCAAGAGUCCAUAUCGACGGGAUGGUUUGGCACCUCGAUGUCGGCUCGUCGCAUCCUGGGGCUGGAGUAGGUCCCAAGGGUUGGGCUGUUCGCCCAUUAAAGCGGCACGCGAGCUGGGUUUAGAACGUCGUGAGACAGUUCGGUCUCUAUCCGCCGCGCGCGUAGAAACUUGAGAAAGGCUGUCCCUAGUACGAGAGGACCGGGACGGACGUACCUCUAGUGUGCCAGUUGUCACGCCCGUGGCAUGGCUGGUUGGCUACGUACGGAAGGGAUAACCGCUGAAAGCAUCUAAGCGGGAAGCCUGUUUCGAGAUAAGGUUUCGUGAUCAGGUGCCCUCUAGACUAGGGGGUUGAUAGGCCAGAGCUGGAAGCGUAGUAAUGCGUGUUGAGGUGACUGGUACUAAUGCGCCGAACACACCCAAA
rnacentral:rRNA from 1 species